UACAGAGGGUGCAAGCGUUGUUCGGAAUUAUUGGGCGUAAAGGGCGCGUAGGCGGUGCUGUAAGUCUGUAGUGAAAUCUCUGGGCUCAACUCAGAGUCUGCUAUAGAAACUGCAGUGCUGGAGUGUGGGAGAGGUGAGUGGAAUUCCCGGUGUAGCGGUGAAAUGCGUAGAUAUCGGAAGGAACGCCGGUGGCGAAAGCGGCGUGCUGG
rnacentral:rRNA from 1 species